ACUAACUGUCUAAUAUUGAACCAAAAGGUCCAUUAUUAGUUUGAGCUCAUGGAGGAGACGAUAUAUCUGACAGUCAACCAGAUCGACCGCUUCUUAGCAAUUAAGCCAGUGGGGAGAAAAAAAGCUCCAGCUAGUAGGUGUCACAUCAAUGCUUCUGGCUAGCAAAUAUGAAGAGGUGUCAGUUCCGGUUGUUGAAGAUCUGGUACUGGUAUCUGAUAGGGCUUAUAGUAGGCAAGAAGUUAUUAAUAUGGUAAAAAUCUACAGAGUGGUGUUAUGCUCGAACUCCUGUCCUUUUUUAUUGAGCUUUGCCUGAUUGAGUAAGAAAUGUUGAAGUUCCCACCUUGUCUAUUAGCAGCAGCAUCAGUAUUCAGUGCUAUGUGCACUAUGAGUGGGUGCAAGCAUUGGAAGAAGACCUGUGCGUGGCACACUGGUUAUUCUCAAGAUCGGUUAAUGGACUGUUCAAGACUGAUGAUUACUUUCCAUCUGAACGCUGCAUCAGCAAAGCUCACUGGUGUACUGUCCAUCGGAAGUACAACACUUCUAGAUAUGGCUACACAGCAAAAUGCGAACCAACUCUCUUUCUCUUAGAAACCAUUGGGUUCAGUGGGUGGACAUACAAAUAAGGAAGCCAAAUGAAUCCACCGUUCUCUUGGGGUCUGGCAUUAAGGACUUUAAAGCAACUGAAGUUGUGCCCUCUUCUACUGAAGUUGUGUGAAUUUGUAAUGUAAAAUUACAUUAAACAAUAUUAUUUCAAUAUUAA